rnacentral:tRNA from 1 species
GGGGGUUCAGUGUAAUUGGUAGCACACCUUUUUCAUAGCUAGUGAUGCGAGUUCUAAUCUCGUGUCCUCCU